UACAGAGGUCCCAAGCGUUGUUCGGAUUCAUUGGGCGUAAAGGGUGCGUAGGUGGCGCCGUAAGUCAGGUGUGAAAUCUCGGGGCUUAACUCCGAAACUGCAUUUGAUACUGCGGUGCUUGAGGACUGGAGAGGAGACUGGAAUUUACGGUGUAGCAGUGAAAUGCGUAGAGAUCGUAAGGAAGACCAGUGGCGAAGGCGGGUCUCUGGACAGUUCCUGACACUGAGGCGCGAAGGCCAGGGGAGCAAACGGG
rnacentral:rRNA from 1 species